rnacentral:rRNA from 1 species
UACGUAGGGUCCGAGCGUUGUCCGGAAUUAUUGGGCGUAAAGAGCUCGUAGGCGGUUUGUCGCGUCUGCUGUGAAGUCCCGAGGCUCAACCUCGGGUCUGCAGUGGGUACGGGCAGGCUAGAGUUCGGUAGGGGAGACUGGAAUUCCUGGUGUAGCGGUGAAAUGCGCAGAUAUCAGGAGGAACACCGGUGGCGAAGGCGGGUCUCUGGGCCGAUACUGACGCUGAGGAGCGAAAGCGUGGGGAGCGAACAGG